rnacentral:rRNA from 1 species
UUAUUCACCUGUUUAUCAAAACAUGGCCUAUUGAGUAUAAUUUUAGGUCGAUCUGCUCCAUGAAAUAAAUUUAAAUAGCUGCAGUAUAUUGACUGUACAAAGGUAGCAUAAUAAAUUGUCUUUUAAUUGAAGAAUUGAAUGAAUGAAUUGAUGAAAUAACAACUGUCUCUAUUUUAUUUAAUGAAUUUAAAUUUUUAGUAAAAAUUCUGAAAUUUAAUUAUGGGACGAUAAGACCCUAUAGAAUUUUAUUUAAUAUAAUUAUUUAUUUAAAAAUUAUUUGUGAAUAUAUAAUUAAUUUAAAUUUGAUUGGGAGGAUUGGUAAAUAAAAAUAACUUUAUCUAAAAAUUAAUUUUGAUGAAAAGAUUUUUUUUGACUUAUAAUUUAUGAUUAAAAGAAUAAAUUACCUUAGGGAUAACAGCGUAAUAUCUUUUGAUAGACCACAUUGAUAAAGAUGUUUGCGACCUCGAUGUUGAAUUAAGAGAAAAGUUAAACGCAGGAGUUUAAAAUUUUAAGUCUGUUCGACUUUUAAAAUCUUACAUGAUUUGAGUUCAAAUCGACGUAAGUCAGAUUGGUUUCUAUCUAUA